UGUUAUUUUUUAAAUAUUUUUUAUUGUUGAAAAAAUUAGGAUAUAUUUAUAUAUUUAUAAUAAUUAAAAUUUUAAAAAUUUUUUUAUUUGAUUUUUAAUUUUAUAUAAAAAUUAUAAUUAUUAAUAUAUAGAAAUUUUGAUUAAAAAGAUUUUAAUUUUUUUGUUAUAUUUUUUAUUAUAAUAUUUUUUUUUUUUAAUGUUUAUUUUCAUUAAAUAAUAAUUUAAUUAUUAUUAUUUUAUUUAUUAUUUAUUAUUAAAUUAAUAAUAAGUUUGAAUUAGCUUUAAUAUAAAAUAUUUCUUAAAAUUUGAGAAAAUUUAGGUUUUGAUUUUUUAUUUCUACUCGAUGAAAAUUAAAUUGUAUCUUUAGCGUGAUUGAUCAAAGGUAGCAUAAUAAUUUGUUUUUUUAUUGGAUUCUGGGAUGAAGAAAAUUAUUAUAUUAUAUUUAAUAAUUUUUAAAAGAAAUUUUUAAUUAUUUAAAAAUUAAUAAUUUUUAUAAAACUAAGAUAAGUCUUUAGAAAUUAAUUUAAUAUUAAUUUAAUUAGGGUAAUUUAUUAUUUAUUAGGUUUUUCUUAUUAAAAUAUAUGUAAUUUCUCUAGAGUUAACAGGAAUAAAAAUUUUUUUUAUUUUUUUUACAUCGUUGUUGUUUUAUUUUUUAUUUAAAAAUAGAAAGUUUAAAUUAGAAGAUUGUUCUUCUAGGUUAAAAUACGUGAGAUUAGUUUAAUUCGUUGUGAAAUAGAAUUGUUUAUCUAGUUUAUUAUUUAUAUAAGUAAAGUGUACGAAAGGAUAUUUAUUUUAAAUUUAAUUUUUU
rnacentral:rRNA from 1 species